GAAUGAAAAAUCCAAAACUAUUAGAACCUUGGUCUGAACGUCGCCAUACAGUGUUGAUGGAUGCGUCCAUUUGUGCGUGUUUUAGUCCGAUAAUGACUCUUUCUUGUUCUUUUCUUGGCAGACAGGAGUCAUUAUUGUCUCCUCAGAGGUCUUUGUCGGACCAGGUAAACACGGGUGGUUUGAGGAAUCUGACCGAGUGACGCCGAUGUUUUUCAGGUACAGUGUUCCCGCAGCAUCGCUGGUCGUCAUAGCAACGCAACACAAAGAUGCUGUGAUGUCAUCUUCAGCAUGAGAAGGAAACCCACUGAUAUCCGACCUGACGGCGGUGAGGCAGAACCAGAACAGUCCGCUGACAUGCGUCACGGUCCGGGGAUGGAGAUGGAGGGGAGGCCUAGUGCUGAGUCCUGAGUGCCGCUGGUGCUGAGCAGACACACAUUAGAGCUUUAACCAGAUGAACUGAGUCCACUCAUCAUUUAUGAAGAAGAACUCCUACUGUCACAACAGUUUCAGGAGGAAAUCAACCUCAGAUCCUCCUUCAGAUAGAACUGAAACCAUCUCCAUAACUUUGAUCAAAUGGGAAUGAGCUGUUUUUGCAGCUGUGGACUAAAACUGCGAACAGGAAUACAGCGUUUUUUUUGACCCACCUCCGUCCGCUUUGUGUGAGUCAGUUGGAGUCAUUUCUCUAAUUACAACCACUAAUAGCAGCAAAACAUCCAGCAGUAUUUUCCCGUGUAAUCGCUGACAGGUUUCUGUGUAAGCCGUAUAAACGCAGUAGGAAAAAAAGAAGGCUUCUAAUAAAAUGUGGAGCAGUGGACCUGAAAGUGGCUAUGGAAGGCCUGUUAUCUCCAAAAUACAGAGACCGAGGAAAGGGAAAGGUUUAUAACCAAGUCAGACUUCUAAUUGUGGACGGUAGACUGUAAUUAAUGUGAGCAGAGGCUGAUUAAAGCCAGAGGUGGCUGAGCAUCGGUCACAGAUCUGCACAUUUCAGCCUCCUUCACCCUCUUAUUUAAGUGUUUUUAAAAGCACACGCUCAUAUUAGAUCAUGAGGAGGAAAUUCAGCUGGAGUAAGGACGACCAUUAAAACUGGCCUGAUUUAUUUAUUUAGGAUGUUUUGGCAAAAAAAAAAAAAAAAAAAACAACAGUCAGAAAAUGUCUUUUUUUUUGGCCAACCUUAUUCCAGGAAGAACUAAACUUUCAGUAUCUGUCCAUUAAUUAUCAUUAUUUUAUGUAAUUAAGGUUUAAAUCAGUGUGUUAUAUCCAUCCAUCCAUUAUCUUCCACU